rnacentral:pre_miRNA from 1 species
CAACUACUCCCUCUGUCCCAAAUUUCUUGUCUUAGAUUUGUCUAGAUACGGAUGUAUCUAAUACUAAAAUGUGACUUGAUACAUCCGUAUCUAGACAAAUCUAAGACAAGAAUUUUGGGACGGAGGGAGNNNNNN